CCUCCCAUCAGAGUGGUUGUGAUGUGGUGCUAUUGAUUCAUAUCACAGCCAGCUUUGAUGAGCGGAA
rfam:Camponotus floridanus CamFlo_1.0_1.contig7870, whole genome shotgun sequence.